rnacentral:rRNA from 1 species
UACAGAGGUGGCAAGCGUUGUUCGGAAUUACUGGGCGUAAAGGGCGCGUAGGCGGCUCGACAAGUCCCGCGUGAAAGCCCCCGGCUCAACUGGGGAACUGCGCGGGAAACUGUCGGACUUGAGUUCGGGAGAGGGAAGCGGAAUUCCGGGUGUAGCGGUGAAAUGCGUAGAUAUCAGGAGGAACACCUGUGGUGUAGACAGCUUACUGGACCAUUUCUGACGCUGAGACACGAAAGCGUGGGUAGCAAACAGG